rnacentral:tRNA from 1 species
GGGCCUAUAGCUCAAUGGUUAGAGCACUCGGCUCAUAACCGAGUGGUUCAAGGUUCAAGUCCUUGUGGGCCCA